UCAAAUAUUCAUUCCAUCUUACUAAUUGCCUUUCCUUUUGCAUUAAAAUUUCUCCAUUCUCAUCCUUUAUUGCCCCAAUUUUCACCCUUCUUUCUUUCCUGAGAUUAAAUUACUGAAUUACUAGGACGAUGAUAUAGCGCGAACAAGAAAACAAUGACAGAUAGCCUGACAAGAAAAUGCACCGGUGCCUAUUUUGGCCCAUUACUCAAUAUAAUGUACACGGAAUAUUGUAUAACAAAUACAAGAAUAACAAAACGGAAUUUGUCGGAUUGACAAGGAACGCUUCAAAGUCACAUUUGCUGGGAAAUACAAUAGUGAAAAGGAUGAACUGAUCAGCAAUUGACACGCAUGUCACCAUGCUCACCUCCAACUGCGAUGCAACAGUCUCAACAUAGUGGCGGGCUCGUCACCGAGUGACUUUUCUUGUCACAACAUCAAUUUUAUUGGUCGUCAAGUUUUUGUCACAAUGUGAAUUUAUAUUACAUCGUCAUCCACGACAUAUUUCCCAGUGGAAUCUUUAUGCUUAUUUCCUAUGCUUAAGAUUUAAUAUUUUCUUUUAAAUUAAUAAAUCAUUAUGAAAUGGAGUCUUAGAAAUUCUUUGAUAUCCAAGUAAAUUUUUCAAGGAAGUUCGCUAAACUUUAUAAACAGAAAACUAUAUCAAAUUUAAUAACUGUAUCUAUAAAUUGACGUCAUUCACGACAACAAUUAUGCAACGAGCUUUUUCGGUAAUUGUUAACGAAUCAACAAUUCAAAUUCCAUUGUUCUUUGUUUGAAUCAAGACGCCAUUUUCGUCUUUCUGGCAUUUUCAAAGAAAUAACGUAAGAAAAAGACGAGAAAUUGCAGAAUGAUGGAUGGAAGUGGAAAAGACAGUGUUUUAGUAUAAGAAACAGAUCAUUCAAAGAACAAUGGACUUUUAAUUGUUUAUUCGUAUAUACGUGAUAUGCAUAUAGGAAUAUACAUUAAGUAAAUAUCUGGAUUGGAAAUGCCUUUUAUCAUAACUUCAUAGAAAUAUUUGACUUAAUGACAU